rnacentral:rRNA from 1 species
GACGGACGCUGGCGGCGUGCCUAAUACAUGCAAGUAGAACGCUGAAGGAGGAGCUUGCUCUUCUGGAUGAGUUGCGAACGGGUGAGUAACGCGUAGGUAACCUGCCUGGUAGCGGGGGAUAACUAUUGGAAACGAUAGCUAAUACCGCAUAACAGUAGAUGUUGCAUGACAUUUACUUAAAAGGUGCAAUUGCAUCACUACCAGAUGGACCUGCGUUGUAUUAGCUAGUUGGUGGGGUGACGGCUCACCAAGGCGACGAUACAUAGCCGACCUGAGAGGGUGAUCGGCCACACUGGGACUGAGACACGGCCCAGACUCCUACGGGAGGCAGCAGUAGGGAAUCUUCGGCAAUGGACGGAAGUCUGACCGAGCAACGCCGCGUGAGUGAAGAAGGUUUUCGGAUCGUAAAGCUCUGUUGUAAGAGAAGAACGAGUGUGAGAGUGGAAAGUUCACACUGUGACGGUAUCUUACCAGAAAGGGACGGCUAACUACGUG